AUAACAAAGACACUUGUAUUUGUUGGACUGGUGGAAGCCAAUACUCUCUCUCAUUUUCCUUCCGAAUUCCCACAUUCUUUGCUUCUUUCCAAUCGAAGUUUGAACCAAAAAAUGGAAGCACUUCUUGAACCAGUUUUCGUAUUUAAGCUGAAUCCAUCUUUCACUACAAAAAACCCAUGUACUGUUCACUUUCCGAACCUUCCAAAGAUACCCUCAAAGCCACUUGUGGUUGCCACUUGUUGUGCAGGAACUCCUUCACCGUCUCCUUUACUCCCCCAAGAUUCCGACCAAAACCCACUUCAGCUUUCCCCUGAUAGGACCCGGGAUCGCCGGAAAGUGGUUCGCAUUGCUUGGGAGAAGCUUGUUAGAUGGUCUCGUUCUUGGCGCUCCAAGGCCAAAACUGAUGUUCUUGAACGAACUAAAAAGGUGGUGGUGCUAGGAGGGGGAUCUUUUGGGACUGCAAUGGCGGCUCAUGUUGCUAACAGGAAGGCACAAAUGGAAGUUAGUAUGCUUGUACGUGAUCCUGCGGUUUGCCGGUCUAUUAAUGAGAACCAUUUUAAUUAUAAGUACUUCCCUGAACACAAGCUACCAGAAAAUGUGACUGCAACUUCUGAUGCCAAAACUGCUUUGCUUGGGGCAGAUUAUUGCCUUCAUGCUGUACCUGUGCAGUUUAGUACAUCCUUUCUCGAAGGAAUUGCAGAGCAUGUUGAUCCUGGCUUACCAUUUAUAUCCCUUAGCAAAGGCUUAGAGCUCAAUACAUUGAGGAUGAUGUCUCAAAUCAUUCCUCAAGCAUUAAAGAACCCUCGCCAACCUUUUAUUGCACUAUCAGGGCCUUCCUUUGCGUUGGAAUUAAUGAACAAACUACCAACAGCAAUGGUGGUGGCAUCAAAAGACAAAAAAUUGGCCCAUGCUGUUCAGCAGCUAUUGUCUUGUAGUCAUUUACGGAUCAGCACUUCAAGGGAUGUUACAGGGGUUGAAAUUGCAGGUGCCCUCAAGAAUGUACUUGCGAUUGCUGCUGGGAUUGUUGAAGGCAUGAAUCUUGGUAAUAAUUCCAUGGCAGCUCUUGUAGCACAAGGUUGUUCUGAGAUACGAUGGCUAGCAACAAAGAUGGGUGGAAAGCCGGCAACAAUUACUGGUCUAUCUGGAACUGGGGACAUCAUGCUUACAUGUUUUGUAAAUCUUUCAAGAAAUAAAAGAGUUGGAGUUCGUCUUGGAUCAGGGGAGGAACUCGAAGAUAUACUCAGUUCCAUGAAUCAGGUAGCUGAAGGUGUGUCAACUGCUGGAGCUGUGAUUGCACUGGCCCAAAAAUAUAAUGUUAAAAUGCCGGUCCUGACAGCAGUUGCUCGGAUCAUGGACAGCGAGCUAACCCCAAAGAAGGCUGUUCUUGAAUUAAUGAGCCUCCCUCAGGUUGAAGAAGUUUGAAAAACUACUGUUUUGUCCCGGAAGUGGAAUUAUUUUCCCGGGGAUGGAGCUCUACCACCAUUAAGAACUUGAUUGUCAUUUAACUGAGCUGCUGAGCUGCAUUUCAUCAUUCCAAGAAAAAACAGAACCAUCUUGCAUACAACAUUCUUGUACUCAAUCUUUGAAGCACCCGGUACCAAUGCAUAUCGUACUAUUGUCUUAGCCUUUACUAUCGGGACUUGAGGUGAGUAUCGAAUAUGAGUAUGCAUCUGGUACGGAAUAUGCUCUUUCUUUUGAAAGGUUUAUAUACAUAUAUAUAUAUAUUUGGAGGAUCAUAGUGAAACUCAUAUCCCUGGUAACAAGUCCUAUCCUAAUAUUGUGUGGGCCAACUAUAAAGUGCUCAAGAAAGAUGGAGCAGAGAGCAAGAGUCAGAGUCAUCUCUGAAUUGUUCUAAGUUGAAGAAAUAUGAAGAGGAUUACAGUUGAGUUCAAGUCACAUUACCUGUCUAAAUUCCAACAUCUGUAUGAUAUUUAAAACGAUUUAAGCAAAAAUCAUAUAUUAAUUAUGUAAUUUAAAUAUAAAAUACGUAUGACCAUAUGUUAAAUUAUGGUAAACAUAUGAGUGAAAAAAGAUUAUAUAUGAAAUAUAUUUAUAAAAGAAUCAAAUGAGGCAUUGGUUGUGUAGCUAAAUUGAGUCCAUUUAAAAUUUACUAUUUUAAAGAGGCCAAACCCUUUGAAGAAGGUUCAAUUAUGCAAAAUUUCAAUUGAAGAUGGCAUUUUAAUUGAGAUAGUGACACGAAUUAAUUGGAUUAAAGUCGAAAAUAUCUUUACGUAAAUUGUAUUAUUUUAAAAGUGUUUUUAUUAUUUUAUAUAUUUUAUGCAUUCGUCUCGCCUCAUUUCUUAUUUAUAUUAAUUUUUAUAAAUAAAUUGGUUACAUAAAUUUUUUUUCAUCCACAAUGGACAGUGUUUAUUAAAUGCCCGUCAGUCAAACUUUAAAUUGAAAAUUUACAUUCAAGUCAAAAUUUUAUUUUAGGGACAUGAUUGUGAUUUAUGAUUUAUUUAAAUAUCUUCGAGGACGAAAACUCAAAUUAUAUAAAAAGGAUGAAAACUCAAUUAAGGUUAUACUUGAGGGGUGAGAUUGCAAUUUUUACUCUUCAGUCUUCAAAAAACCUGAAACGACACAGUUUUCUUUUUCUUUUCGUUGCUAAGUAGUUGUCAUUGAUGAAUGGGAUGAUAAACCCUAGUGGAAAAAAGAGGAAGAAAAACGUAUAAGAAAAAGAAGUUACAAAACAGAAGCACCAAAAAAAAUCAUAAACCCCAGCCUGCAGCUGGUCAGAAAGAUGAAGAAAACCCAAAAAACAAACAAAGAGAAAGAAUCAAACACCAAAACCCGAACCAAAGAA